CUAUAGAAAUAUAAAGCCACGGUAUGAAUCAAAUAAACUGAUAAACUGGGCUUGUUGACAAGGCCCUGGUUCACCAUUCGCAUGCCUUUUGUUUACAUUGGUUUUCGCUGACGUUACAACCACCACCGGAUAACAGACGCCGUUCUCCACCAAUUUAGCGUCUGCGCGCGGUCUAGUUAGUAUAGACGUCAUUGACUACACGAGUUCGUUACAAGACAUCAAAUUCGCACCAAAUAAUGAAACUCAAACAUAACAACUAAUAAUACUAUUUAAAUAUUAAUAAUGGGUUUGAUCUACAUAGUAUCAGCAAUAAGUAUUCUUGCACAGGUUUAUUCAAAUUAUCAAGCAAAAGUUACACAACUUAAAAUUUCUAAAAUAUAAUUCAAACUGUUCAUGAAAAUUACAGGUAAGGAAAAGCAGGGGUUCCAGGCUUUUUUCGGUUCUACUCCUAGAACGGUGUCUUCAAGUUCUGCUGAUGCUGUGCAUAAAUAUUUAAUGAAUGGCUUAUAGUGAUACAGAUUUUCUGAAAAUGAAGAACUGAUAAUGGUGAAAAGUUAGUUCAUUACAAAUAUAUAUUUUGUAAAAGACUAAAGACACCAGAAUGAAAAAUAAUGUUACAUAUAAGAGAAUUGACUGUAAAAAGCCUCUACCAUAUUUUUAUCUGACUGUUUCACUGGAAUUUGAAAACAAUGUGGAAACUGUUGAUUUGUUAUCUAUCAAAAGAAGUAUAACCAUGGCAAUGAAACAGCUGUUUGGUGAAGUUGGUGCUAGUACACAUAUUGAUGUUCUCAAAUUUGAUGAGAAGAAUAAAUGGUCUAUUGUUCGAGUUGAUUCCAGAAGUCUUGUUAAACUACGUAGUGCCUUGACUUUAUAUAGCAGUUUCUUAGAUUCUCAAAAACCAUGUGCAUUCCAAGUACAUCAGGUUUCUCAACAUUUACUGGCAUUGGCAGCUAAUAGUAGAAUCAGCUGAAUUUUCAAUUGAUUGCUGUUACAUUGAAACCAAAUUGUGAUUGAAAUCUGCACACAGAGGAGGAUUACAAAUUCAAACUGUAAAGUGUGAAAAAUUGAGUUACUGACAUAUAAUAUUAUGUUCAAUAUAGCCCAGUCUAUAGAUGGAGAAGCUUUGAAUUUUAAUAUUAUAUAGAUGGAGCAUUAUAAUUAUGUUAUAAUGUAUUUGUUUGUAAAACAAAAUUCUAAUAAAAGAUAUAUAUUAAUAUUAUACAUGUGUUAA